AUUGAACGCUGGCGGCAGGCCUAACACAUGCAAGUCGAACGGUAGCACAGAGAGCUUGCUCUCGGGUGACGAGUGGCGGACGGGUGAGUAACGUCUGGGAAACUGCCCGGUGGAGGGGGAUAACUACUGGAAACGGUAGCUAAUACCGCAUAACGUCGCAAGACCAAAGUGGGGGACCUUCGGGCCUCACACCAUCGGAUGUGCCCAGAUGGGAUUAGCUAGUAGGUGGGGUAAUGGCUCACCUAGGCGGCGAUCCCUAGCUGGUCUGAGAGGAUGACCAGCCACACUGGAACUGAGACACGGUCCAGACUCCUACGGGAGGCAGCAGUGGGGAAUAUUGCACAAUGGGCGCAAGCCUGAUGCAGCCAUGCCGCGUGUAUGAAGAAGGCCUUCGGGUUGUAAAGUACUUUCAGCGGGGAGGAAGGCGGUGAAGUUAAUAGCUUCACCGAUUGACGUUACCCGCAGAAGAAGCACCGGCUAACUCCGUGCCAGCCGCCGCAGUAA
rnacentral:rRNA from 1 species